rnacentral:rRNA from 1 species
GACGAACGCUGGCGGCGUGCUUAACACAUGCAAGUCGAACGAGUGGCGAACGGGUGAGUAAUACGUGGGAACCUGCCCUCCUUUUUGGGAUAACUACUGGAAACGGUAGCUAAUACCGCAUACCAUCAGAGGAACCCAUAUGGGAUUAGCUAGUAGGUGAGGUAACGGCUUACCUAGGCGACGAUCCCUAGCUGGUCUGAGAGGAUGCUCAGCCACACAGGGACUGGGACACGGCCCAGAGUCCUACGGGAGGCAGCAGUGGGGAAUAUUGCACAAUGGGCGAAAGCCUGAUGCAGCGACGCCGCGUGGGGGAUGAAGGCUUGCGGGUUGUAAACCUCUUUCGCUAUCGAACGGGUAGGUGGAGAAGAAGCGCCGGCUAACUACGUGCCAGCAGCCGCGGUAAUAC